rnacentral:rRNA from 1 species
GACGAACGCUGGCGGUGUGCUUAACACAUGCAAGUCGAACGGUAAGGCCCUUUCGGGGGUACACGAGUGGCGAACGGGUGAGUAACACGUGAGUAACCUGCCCUCAUCUCUGGGAUAACAGUCGGAAACGGUUGCUAAUACUGGAUAUGAGCUUGCUAGGCAUCUUGUGGGUUGGAAAGAUUUUUUUUGGUUGGGGAUGGACUCGCGGCCUAUCAGCUUGUUGGUGAGGUAGUGGCUCACCAAGGCUUCGACGGGUAUCCGGCCUGAGAGGGCGACCGGCCACAUUGGGACUGAGAUACGGCCCAAACUCCUACGGGAGGCAGCAGUGGGGAAUAUUGCACAAUGGACGGAAGUCUGAUGCAGCAACGCCGCGUGCGGGAUGACGGCCUUCGGGUUGUAAACCGCUUUCAAUUGUGACGAAGCUUUUUUGUGACGGUAGCAGUAGAAGAAGCACCGGCUAACUACGUG